AUAUACCACCAAAUUUCAUUUACUACUCCUGCAUCCCUGACUUUCCAUCUUCUAAUUAACAUCUUGGAAUUGAUUUCUUCUUCUUGGCUAAAUUAACUCCUUUUCCAAUAUUCUUGACUAAGGCUAUUCAUAUAUGGUUGAUUUUUCCAUUUAAGCUCUUUAAUUUUUUCCCAAUUUCAUUUAUUAUUAUCAUUAUCCCCAUUUUUCAAUUAAAAACCCACAGAUCCAUUUUGCUCUGGCUCACUGGCUGCCGUUGUCCUCUUCCAAUUUUUCUCCGGUAAAAGAUAUUCACACUUACAAGUUACACCGAUUACUAGAGAAAUUUAGAAGAUCUUCUGAAAAAUGGCGGCCACUCACAAAGGUGAUGAUGAUACAAGGAGAUUUCUCUAAGAUUAAUGGAGUUGAUAAAGAUUGAAGGAAAAUGAUUAUAAUUUGCUUUACUGCUUGUUUUGAAGAUAAUUUGUAAUACUUUUUUGAAUAUUACGUAUUUUAUGUGAAUUUUCUGUAUUUUCUUGAUGCGAAAUUAUAUUUUGAAAUAUUAUAGAAGGGCCCCAUUUUUAUAUUUUUCCUAGGGCCCACGAAAUGUCAAAAACGGCACUGAGAAGAAGACAAGGAGUCUUCAAUAUAGCCGAAAAAUAUAAAAAUACAUGGCUGCCGUUCUUACCCUUAUUAAUUCCAAAGUUCCUUCCUUUGACCUAAUUAAACCCAUGAACUCGACCCAACACUCAACCCACGACCCAGAUAACCCACAAAAAAACCCACAUAACACAAUAAAAUUCCAUAACCCACAAAAUAACCAGCCCAGUUUGGGAUUAUUAUGAAAACCUCAGUCCAUCUCUUGGAUCUUUGACUGUGGGGCAAUAGAUACUAUGUCUUUUGAUCCUGCAGAUCUUGUAUCUAUCACAGCCACCCCCGCACCAAUAUCCAAAAUGCAAAUGGGAAAUGCGUCCGGGUUGAUCAAGCUGGCCCAAUUGAUAUCACUUCCUCUAUUAAAUUAAAAAUUUGUCUCCUUGUUCCUAGUUUAUCUCAUAAAUUAUUACUCUGUCUUCCACUGAUUGUGUUGUGCAGGAUGUUCAAAUAGGAAAAAUCAUUGGACUUGGUACUGAACGAGGAGGCUUGUACUAUGUAGAUGAGGGGACUUUAAAGGGUCACACAUUGCUUGCUCAUGGGUCACCUGAUCAUGAAAUGUGGAUGUGGCAUAGGCGUCUAGGUCAUCCUCCACUUGGAUAUUUGAAACGUCUUUUUUCAUCUCUUAAUAAUUGUAAUGCACCCCUUGAUUGUGAGGCAUGUGUCCUGGAAACUAGUCAUAAGCACACUUAUUUUUCGAGUCUAACCCACAAUAAAAAAUCGUUUACUUUGAUCCAUUCUGAUCUUUGGGGUCCAGCUCCUGAAUCUAAUUCACAUGGACUUUCGUACUUUGUUUUAUUUGUAGAUGAUUGUACUCGCAUGAGUUAGGUGUACUUCAUGAAGCAUAAAUCUGAGGUUUUUAACGUUUUUGUGAAAUUCUAUAACAUGCUCAUAACUCAAUUCCAAGCCCAACCUCAAAUUCUCCGAUUAGACAAUGGGAAGGAAUACAUAAACUUUGACAUGAAACACUUUAUCUCAACCCAUGGCUUAAUUCAUCAGACCACUUGCCCAAACACUCCACAAUAGAAUGGGGUUGCUGAGCGGAAAAACCAAAUACUCCUUGAGAUAACCAUAGCACUUAUGUUUGAAGGUCAUGUCCCAGCUUAUUUUUGGCCAAAAGCAGUUGCAACUGCCACUUACUUGACUAAUCGUCUUCCCACAAAAGCUCUUCACUUCAAAACACCCUUGAAAACACUUCAAACCCAUACUACUAUUCCAUCUUCUCAUUCCUUACCUCCUCGAGUAUUUGGUUGUGUUUUAUACGUCUACCUUGCCAAACAAGAUCGGAACAAACUUUAACCUCGUGCUGUUAAGUGUGUGUUUAUUAGGUAGGUGAAUCAGAAAGGCUAUCAAUGUUGUGAUCCGAUUCACAACACUUUAUACCACUAUGAACUGUGACUUCUUUGAGAGUUCAUACUACUACCCUAGCUUAGUCCUCAGGGGGAGACUGUGAGUGGUGAUGACUCAAGCUGGCUAACAUAUCAUGUUGCUAUCACUCCAUAUCCUAAAAUUGAUCAUAACCCUAUAGAGCAAGUAGGUAAUCCCAUAGCUGUUGCCACUAAAUAUAUAAUACAUCCUCCUUCUCAAACUAUUCAUGUCCUGUUUGAAGCAUCUGGAGAGCAAUCUAAACAAGAGGUAAUUCUAGAGCCUUUGAUUGAUAUUGCUAAUGAUGUUGUUCCUAACGUGGAGUCACCUCGCAGAUAUGAGUUACCCCCAAGGAGUACGAGGGGCAUUCCACCCCCAAGGAGUACGAGGGGUAUUCCACCAAGGAGAUAUAACCCUAAGUUUGAAGCACAAUGAUCUCGAUACCCCAUCAAUUAGGGUAUUGUUGAUAAUCUAUCCCAGUCUGCUGCUGCUUUUAAUGACGUCUUGUAUUUGAGUUCUAUACCCCGAAACACUGAAAAGGCACUCCGAAAUCCAAAAUGGAAAAGGGCUAUGGAAGAUGAGAUAACAAUUGUCAAAAAGAAUAACACAUGGGAGAAAUGCAUGGUACCAAAAGGGGAAGAAAACAGUAGGCUAUAAGUGGUUGUUCUCGAUCAAAUAUCAUGCUGAUGGGACCAUUGAGAGAUACAAAGCCCGACUUGUAGCUAAAGGGUAUACUCAAACAUACGGGGUAGACUACUCAGAAACGUUAUCCCCGGUUUCCAAGAUUGAUACUAUCAGAGUCCUGUUCUCAGUAGCUACAAAUAAAGAUUGGCCGUUACACCAGUUUGAUGUAAAAAAUGCCUUCCUCCAUGGUGAAAUUGAAGAAGUCUAUAUGAGAGCACCACCGGGUUCUCAGAUGAGUAUAGAUCAGGAGAGGGGGGUAGACUCAAGAAAGCAUUGUAUGGCUUAAAACAAUCUCCGCGAACAUGGUUUGGUAGGUUUACUAUAGCAAUGAGGAAAUUUGGUUACAAGCAAAGUAACUCUGAUCACACUUUGUUCUUGAAAAAAAGAAAGAAAGGAUUGGUGAUAUGGUCUUAAUCCGGAAUAAUGAAAAUGAGAUCAGUUGUAACAAACUCAAAAUUCUUAAUC